rnacentral:rRNA from 1 species
UACGUAGGGGGCAAGCGUUGUCCGGAUUUAUUGGGCGUAAGGAGCGUGUAGGCGGCCAGACAGGUCCGUUGUGAAAACUCGAGGCUCAACCUCGAGAUGUCGAUGGAAACCGUCUGGCUAGAGUCCGGAAGAGGAGUGUGGAAUUCCUGGUGUAGCGGUGAAAUGCGCAGAUAUCAGGAAGAACACCUAUGGCGAAGGCAGCACUCUGGGACGGUACUGACGCUGAGACGCGAAAGCGUGGGGAGCGAACAGG